rnacentral:rRNA from 1 species
GAUGAACGCUGGCGGCGUGCUUAACACAUGCAAGUCGAACGAAGCACUUCAAUCGAUUUCUUCGGAAUGAAGUUUUAGUGACUGAGUGGCGGACGGGUGAGUAACGCGUGGGUAACCUGCCUCACACAGGGGGAUAACAGUUGGAAACGGCUGCUAAUACCGCAUAAGCGCACAGUACCGCAUGGUACAGUGUGAAAAACUCCGGUGGUGUGAGAUGGACCCGCGUCUGAUUAGCUAGUUGGCAGGGCAACGGCCUACCAAGGCGACGAUCAGUAGCCGACCUGAGAGGGUGACCGGCCACAUUGGGACUGAGACACGGCCCAAACUCCUACGGGAGGCAGCAGUGGGGAAUAUUGCACAAUGGGGGAAACCCUGAUGCAGCGACGCCGCGUGAGCGAAGAAGUAUUUCGGUAUGUAAAGCUCUAUCAGCAGGGAAGAAGAAAUGACGGU